CAGGGAGAGGGAACGUCGGGAGAAGGAGAGGGAGGAGUGGGAGCGGCAGUACAGCCGCCAGAGCCGCUCCCCCUCCCCACCCCCACGGCACGGUCGGGAAUACAGCUCUUCCCGAAGGCAUUCCCGGUCCCGCUCCCGGAGCCCCCACUACCGGCACUGAGGGGGCCCCUCUGGAAUCCAAUAAACCCCCCAAAUCCCAUGGAA